rnacentral:misc_RNA from 1 species
GAGAGAGAGAGAGAGAGUUAACUGGAUAUGCUAGUUGAUACCUGAUCAUCUGCCAAAUCACUCUAUGAAUAGUUGCUCUUGAGUUCUGGCAGUUUAUAUUUAAGCUUAUCAAAUUUGUAAGUUUUUCAUGGUCUGAACUUUUGUUGUUACCCUAAUUAAUUUUAUGAGUUAUCCUAGAAUGGUAUUUGGUUCCAAAGGACAAUAUGUUUAUGAUGGCUUUAGUGCCUAUCAUUUAUUUUUGAAAUAUUUUCCUAUUGGCUUCCUGGAAAAUGAAAUUUGUGAGCUGAUUGAAACAUGAGGUGACUGUGGUGAUCUUUUAGAAACAAAUUAUGGUUACAAGAAAUUGUUUUAAGCAUGUAAUUUUUUUUUUGAAUGAAUGGCGUGAAGCUCUGAUUUGAAGUAUGGGUGCUCUGUUGCUUAGGCUCAAUACAUGAUGAAUGGGUAUCAGUACAAAAUAUGCAUUCAAUGCAGCAAAGGAAACUUGGUCCUGGCAGGUCCUGCCAAGACUAUAAUGACAGUGAAAUGCGUUGUUCUUCAACUUAGAUUUCUUCUUUUCAUGACCAUGAGAAUUUGGUUUUAAGAGGGAGACAUCUUACUUCAAAUGAGAGAUUAGAUUGGCCUUAAAGAAGAAAAAUAGAUUGGUUUUACUUGACUUGACAUAUGUGACCUUCAGUCCAUGUUUCGGCAUUUUUUUGACUCAUUCAGCCCAGAUAAAUAUUGAAUUGACAAGAAGUAUCUUUUGUAGGCUACAAAUUUCAGUAUCUAACCUUUGUUUUUCUAAUUUAGCAUGCUUUACCUGACUUGUGAAGAAUAGAAGCAUUCCUUAACUGUUUCUGAUAUAGAAUUAGGACCUGAGCAUCGUAACAUUUGAAUUUUACUCAAUUGUGUGUGCACAUCAUAUUACUCUGAGAAACCUUUAACAUGGUACCAUUCUGUCUAUUUUAGAAUUCAUAUGCCUAUAUUUGUAUUCAUCAGGAGGAGAAAACCAGGGGAAGAGUUACUG